rnacentral:rRNA from 1 species
AGUGAAUAGAUACCCGGGUAGUCCACGCCGUAAACGAUGGGCACUAGGUGCUGGGGGGAGCGACCCCGUCAGUGCCGUAGCUAAACGCGAUAAGUGCCCCGCCUGGGGAGUACGGCCGCAAGGCUGAAACUCAAAGGAAUUGACGGGGGCCCGCACAAGCGGUGGAGCAUGUGGUUUAAAUUCGAAGCAACGCGAAGAACCUUACCUAGGUUUGACAUGCUGGUGAAAGCCUCUGGAAACAGGGGCCCUUCUUCGGAACACCAGCACAGGUGCUGCAUGGCUGUCGUCAGCUCGUGUCGUGAGAUGUUGGGUUAAGUCCCGCAACGAGCGCAACCCUUGCCCCGUGUUACUAACAGGUAAAGCUGAGGACUCUCGGGGGGCUGCCGGCGUCAAGCCGGAGGAAGGUGGGGACGACGUCAAGUCAUCAUGGCCCUUACGCCUAGGGCGACACACGUGCUACAAUGGCCACGACAGAGGGCAGCAAAGCGGCAACGUGGAGCGAAUCCCAGAAACGUGGUCUAAGUUCGGAUUGUGGGCUGCAACUCGCCC